rnacentral:ncRNA from 2 species
CCUCUCAAGGAGCGUUGCAGCGCCGGCGGGUUUUCACAGCCCCCACCGUGCGUCAGGCUUGAGUGGGCGCGAACAGGCCCAAACGGCGCUCACCCAGU